AUUGUCGUGGCCGAGCGGUUAAGGCUUCUGACUGGAAAUCAGAUUCCCUCUGGGAGCUUAGGUUUGCAAUAAUG
rnacentral:tRNA from 1 species